CAAUUUUCUCUCUUAUUAGCUUUAUCAUCUCUCACAAUAUCAUAUCCUUCAAACAUGGGUUCCAUGGAGAUCAACAAGAUAUUUGUCAUAUUCUUCCUUCUCUUUCUCACUGCCGCUGCAGCUGAGGUACCAAGGGAACAACCUAUGGGCAAAACUUGUAUUAAGCUCUAUAAUUUUCCUUCCUGCUCCGAUGACCUAUGCAGGAGGUCAUGCCAGGCAUUACAUGGCUCCAGCGCUACGGGAAUAUGCAAGGAUACUUCCUCUUGUGUCUGCACCUACCCUUGUCUUUAUCUCUCAUCACUGGAAACGUUAGAAAAAGAUAUCUAAAAUCCUACUCUUAUUAGACCAUAACUAUAUGUGGUUAUGGUAAACAGUUCUUUACCUUUAUUUUAAGGAUAUAUACGUCC